rnacentral:rRNA from 1 species
GACGGAGGGUGCAAGCGUUGUUCGGAAUUACUGGGCGUAAAGCGCGGGCAGGUGGCCUUUUAAGUCCUUUGUGAAAUUCCGGAGCUCAACUCCGGAUGUGCAUAGGAUACUGGAAGGCUAGAGACUGGUAGAGGCGAGCGGAAUUCCUGGUGUAGCGGUGGAAAUGCGUAGAUAUCAGGAAGAACACCGGUGGCGAAGGCGGCUCGCUAGGCCAGUUCUGACACUCAUCCGCGAAAGCGUGGGGAGCAAACAGG